CUGUGGUGCAUUGUAGUUGCAUUGCAUGUUCUAGCAGUACCCAUGCAGUGUUUCCACAGUGCAUCAUGG
rfam:Otolemur garnettii contig015900, whole genome shotgun sequence.